CAGGGAGGGAGGACGUGGUGUAUUUCUAGCAUCAAGUUACAUGUGGUCAAGUCAGGGGAUGCCAUACCUGCUCCCAGCCUGAAUCCUGCAAUGUGUCAGGAGGAGCAGUGCAUUCAUAACGCAGCAACAAAGACUGGAGCACUGCUGAGACAGGUAGCAGAGCUCCUUCAUUAGUGGUCACUGUUAACCCCAUCCAGUCAGUGCUGAGCAAAACGAGGACUCUGCAAACUGCAGGUAAUAUUUCCUGCUGGCUCAGCUAUAGUCAUUUAUGCAGCUUUUAGGGCGGUUUGGUGUUUUUUUCUUUCUUUUUCUGUUCCUUGCUUUUGGUGAGAUGCUAAUAAUUCGUGCAAACUCCCCCAUACACAACCAAUCUCCAUCAGAUGAUGAGACAAAAGGCUGAGAUAAGCCCCACUUCUAGCUAUACACUGUUAAAACGGGAAAAGAAAUCUGUUCAGAGAUUUUGCGAUGCAUAUGCAUGCAACAAGAAAAGCAGAGGCAGGGAAAAGAAGAGCUGGCUUGCAUGGCAGCAGGUGAACAAUGAACAAGGGAAAAACACUUGGCUGUAACAUUCACACCCGUGUCUCAUCCCACCUAAGACCCAGAACACAACAACUUCCAAGUAAUGCUCUAACUGAUCCGUACUGUAUUGAGCCUCUAAGCUGUCUUUGCUUCUCUGCUUCUGUAAUUUAAGCUCCUUUUGUCUUGCUGUUCAGCAGGCAAACCUCACCCUAAGAAGACAAGAUGCAAACUAUGGGUGGAGUAUGUAUGUAGCCAAAUGAGUAAAAAUUUGUUUGAUACGAGACAACAAACAGAUGUGAGACGAUGCUGUCUGAAAUGGACCCAUACUGACUUGAAUAUACGUACCAAAACACUAGAAAUCACGUUGUUACCAUACUGGAGUCUUUCCUCUUCCAUCACUUAAGCUGUGUACAAAGCUCUGGCAUGUCCCGUGAACCAGCAGGCACCUGCAGCCCUAUCCCUUGGCAUUACGCACAGGAAAAGAAAUGGCACAGCAUGAUAGCUUAUCCC
ensembl:lncRNA